UAUUUAUGUUGCAUUUACAUUUUAUUGGGUAUAAUGAGUAAUCUACAGCUGAUGUAAAGUAUACAGGAAGAUGUACAUGGUCUAUAUGCAAAUACAUUAUUUUAUACAACAGACUUUAGAAUUUGUGGAUUGUAUUAUCUGUGGAGUUUCCUGGAUAACCCCACAGGUACCGGGGGAUCACUACAUAUUUAAAGUGCUGAAAGAAAAAAAAAAAACUACUAACCAAGAGUGCUAUACCCAGCAAAGCUGUCCUUCAGAAAUGAAGGCAAGAAAAAAUUUCCCAAACAAAAGCUGAGGAAGUUCAUCACCACUAUGUUUACCUUAUGAAAAACGCUACAUGAAGUUGCUCAAGUUGAAACAAAAAGACACUAAAUAGCAACAUGAAAGACCACAGGAGUAUAAAACUCACUGGUUAGGGUAAAUAUAUAAGUAAAUAUAGAAUCUUCUAAUAUUGUAAAGUAUGUAAGUCACUUUUAACCCUAAUAUAAAUGUUAAAAGACAAAAGUACUAAGAACUAUAACAAUUAAUGGAUACACAAUUUAAGAUGUAAAUUGUGACAUCAAUAACAAAUAAUUAAGGGAGAAUAAAUGGGUAGUUUUGUAUGUGAGCAUAGUUAAGCUGUUAUCAGCUUAAAAUAGACUGUUAGAAAUAUGUUUAUGUAAGUCCCAUGGUAACCAGAAAGGAAAAAACUUACAGGAGAUACACAAAAGAGAAAGAGAAAAAAAUCAAAGCACAACACUACAAAAAUCAAGUCACCAAAGAAGACAAAAGGGGAGGAGAAGAAAGAAAGAAAAGAACUACAGAAUAGACAGAAAAAAAUUAAUGAAAUAGCAAUAGUAAGCCCUUACCCAUCAAUAAUUACUUUAUAUGUAAAUCAAUUAAAUUCCCCAAACAAAAGACAAAGAGGAAGAAUCUGGCAGAGAUCAACCCCAGAGAAACCUGGAAUCCUGCAGAAAAAGUAGGCGGGAGGCCGGGCGCGGUGGCUCACACUUGUAAUCACAGCAUUUUGGGAGGCCGAGGCAGGCAGAUCACUUGAGGACAAGAGUUCAAGACCAGCCUGGCCAACAUGGUGAAACCUCAUCUCUAUUAAAAAUACAAAACAAUUAGCCAGGCAUUGUGGCAGGUGCCUAUAAUCCCAGCUACUCAAGAGGCUGAGGCAGGAGAAUUGCUCGAACCCAGGAGGCGGAGGUUGCAGUGAGCCAAGAUCAUGCCAUUGCAAUCCAGCCUGGGCAACAAGAGCGAUACUCCGUUCAAAAAAAAAAGGUGGGAAUGCUGCUCUGCUCCCUUCACCCCUCUGACAAUCUGCUGACCACCAAACUGUUGGGAACCCCUCUGUCCUCAUGACCUAGGGCAAAGCUAUCGGUGGUGACUUGGGAAUUUCCCAGGGAUAGAGAACCAGCUGGCUAGCUCCUGUAGGAAUUCAUGUACUCCCCUGACCCAAACUGAGAUGACAGGUGCAAUACUGGUGUAGAUACCUAGUGGACCUCUGCCCUGCCUAGGGUUUCUCCGCCCUUGAGUCAUCACACCACCAGAACCCUCACAAAUAUAACUUACAACCCACUCUGGCUUUGGCAAGCACAGGAGACUGAUGGGCCCCCAGGAAGUUGUGAGGCCCCUGGAGAUCUAACCACCAGCAUGGGCUACCAACAAGGGAGUGCAGCCUACCAAAGUCCCCUUAGGACAAAGGGAAUGUGGAUGCAGCACUGAUUGCUGAAGGAGGCAGUGCCAACACCAGGAAAUGAACUAAGGUCGUGAGCUUUGCAACAGGGGCAAGAUAGGGAAGCAGAUGGCAUUCCUGCUGACUCAGGAUAAGGACCUGGUGCACCUCCCCAACCUUUCCUCCAAGAUCUCAGCGGGCCCCAACAAGAUUGCUUCCUGUUCCCACUGGCCCCCUAACCCCUCUCAUGCCUCCUGUCAACACAGGUGCUACCACUUGACAUCAGCCUGGGCAUGAGCUGUCUCCUACUCUUAAGUGUCAUCUCCAUCUACUGGACUACAGCCUGAACUGCACCACCAAACAAAAAACCUGCUACCAGAAGGGCUUAGUGCUAGUCUGAGAUAAGUUUCCUAAGACCUAUGCACCUGCACUCUCAAUCCCACAGGAAAUAGUGUGUCCGCUCAUAUGUUCAAUACAUCGCUACAACAAUCAGCAUCUAAGAAAGUCACUACACAGAGGCUAUCCACAACCAACGUACCCAUAUACAGCCUUGGCCCACUGAAAGUACCAAUAAAUGAAACAAAAAGAUCAUACACAACAUACACCACAGUCAUACCCUAAAGGGAAAAAGGAUUGAAAAAUUAAAAGAUCCCAUGCAAAUGAUAGCAAACUCAAAAAUGAGAAGUAGCAGCUCCUCAGACGAGAAGGAAUCAGCAAGAACUCUGGCAGUAUAAAAAGCCAGGAUGUCCUGACACCUCCAAAGGAUUGCACCAACUCUCUAGUAAUGGAUACUAACCAAACUGAAAAAUUUGAAAUGAUAAAAUAUUCAAAAUAAGGAUAUCAAGGAAACUCAGUAAGAUCCAAGAGAAAGUUGAAAUCCAAUACAAAGACACUAGAAAAAUAAUUCAGGGUAUGAAAGACAAGAUAGCUGUAUUAAGAAAAAAACAAAUAGAACUUCUGAAAUUGAAAAUUUUGCUAAAGGAAUUUCAAAAUACAGCUGGAAGUUUUAAUAACAGAUUACACAAAGCAGAAGAAAGAAUUUCAGAACUUGAAGGCUGGUCCUUCAAAUUAACCCAGAUAAAGCAAAAAAAAGAACAAAGCCUUUGGAAAUACAAAGAAAAAGCAAGCAAAUUGGAAAACAUAUUUGAGGAAAUAAUUCAGGAAAAUUUCCCUAAUCUUGCUAGAGAGGUCAAGAACCAGAUAUAAGAAACUGAGAGUACACCUGAGAGAUACUAUACAACACAACCGUUCCCAAGGUUAAUACAAAAAAAAACCUUAAAGGUAGCUAGAGAAAAGGCCCAAAUUACCUAUAAAGGAAGUCCCAUCAGACUAACAGCAGACUUCUCAGCAGAAACCUUACAAGCCAGAAGAGACUGAAGCCUAUUUUUGCCUUCUUAAAGAAAAAAAAAUGGCAGCCAAAAAGUUCAUAUCCUGCCAAACAGCUUCAUAAAUAAGGGAGAAAUAAAGCCUUUAUUAGAGAAGCAACUGUUAAGGGAAUUUGUCUCCACCAGAUAAGCCCUACAAGAAAUAUUCACAGAAGUUCUAAAGAUGGAAACGAAAGAAUGAUACUGCUACCAUAAAACAACACAUAAGUACAAAGUUCUCAGAUGCUACAAAACAAUUACACAAUUGAGACUACAAAACAACUAGCUAAGAAAGCUAUGACAGAAAUGAAACCUCACAUAUCGAUAUUAGUCUUACAUGUAAAUGGUCUAAAUACCCUACUCAAAAGACACAGAGUGGCAAAUUGGAUUUAAAAAACAGUAUUCUGCUGCCUUCAAUAGAUCUACCUCACAGGGAACGGCAUUCCCACACUAAAAGUAAAGAAAUGGAAAAACAUCUAUCAUGCAAAUGAAAAACAAACAAACAAAAAAGAGGAUGAGUUGCUAUUCUUGUAGCACAUAAAACAGACUUUAAAUGAACAAAGCUAAAAAAAGAAAAUGAAAAAGAUGGCAUUAUUUAAUGAUAAAACAUUCAAUUCAAUCAAGAAGACUUAACUAUCCUAACUAUACCUGCACCCAAUGUCAAAGUACCCAUAUUUAUAAAACAAAUACUAGUAGACUUCAGAGAUACACAGUGAAACAAUAAUAGUGGGGGACUUCACUACCCCACUGACAGCAUUAGACAGAUCACUGAGGCAGAAAACUAACAAAAAAAAAAAAAAAAAAAAAAAAAAAAACACUCUGGACUUAAACUGGACUCUUGACCAAAAGUACCUAAUAGACAUCUACAGAAUAUUCCACCCAAGAACCGCAAAUACCCACUUCUUUAAUCAUCUGUACAUGCAACAUUCUCUAAAUUUGACCACAAGCUCGGUCAUAAAGCAAGUCUCAAUAAAUGCAAAAAAACUGAAAUCAUAUCAAGUAUCUUCUUGGACAAUACACCCACACCU
rnacentral:lncRNA from 10 species